ACGCUCGACACCUACGGGAGGCAGCAGUUGGGAAUAUUGGACAAUGGAGGAAACUCUGAUCCAGUGACGCCGCGUGAAGGAAGAAGGUCUUCGGAUUGUAAACUUAUUUUGUCAGGGAAGAAAAAUGACUGUACCUGAAGAAAAAGCACCGGCUAACUACGUGCCCGCAGCCGCGGUAAUCUGAGCGGGCUGGCAAGGC
rnacentral:rRNA from 1 species